rnacentral:rRNA from 1 species
CCUACGGGCGGCAGCAGUAGGGAAUCUUCGGCAAUGGACGGAAGUCUGACCGAGCAACGCCGCGUGAGUGAAGAAGGUUUUCGGAUCGUAAAGCUCUGUUGUAAGAGAAGAACGAGUGUGAGAGUGGAAAGUUCACACUGUGACGGUAUCUUACCAGAAAGGGACGGCUAACUACGUGCCAGCAGCCGCGGUAAUACGUAGGUCCCGAGCGUUGUCCGGAUUUAUUGGGCGUAAAGCGAGCGCAGGCGGUUAGAUAAGUCUGAAGUUAAAGGCUGUGGCUUAACCAUAGUACGCUUUGGAAACUGUUUAACUUGAGUGCAAGAGGGGAGAGUGGAAUUCCAUGUGUAGCGGUGAAAUGCGUAGAUAUAUGGAGGAACACCGGUGGCGAAAGCGGCUCUCUGGCUUGUAACUGACGCUGAGGCUCGAAAGCGUGGGGAGCGAACAGGAUUAGAUACCCGUGUAGUC